UACGAAGGGGGCUAGCGUUGCUCGGAAUCACUGGGCGUAAAGCGUGCGUAGACGGUUGCGUAAGUCAGAUGUGAAAGCCCCGGGCUCAACCUGGGAAUUGCAUUUGAGACUGCGUAGCUAGGGUGCGGAAGAGGGAAGCGGAAUUUCCGGUGUAGCGGUGAAAUGCGUAGAUAUCGGAAGGAACACCAGUGGCGAAAGCGGCUUCCUGGUCCAGCACCGACGUCAGGCACGAAAGCGUGGGGAGCAAACAGG
rnacentral:rRNA from 1 species